rnacentral:rRNA from 1 species
AUUGAACGCUGGCGGCAGGCCUAACACAUGCAAGUCGAGCGAGCGGCGGACGGGUGAGUAAUGUAUGGGGACUGCCCGAUAGAGGGGGAUAACUACUGGAAACGGUGGCUAAUACCGCAUACUAUCGGAUAACCCAUAUGGGAUUAGCUGGUAGGUGGGGUAAAGGCUCACCUAGGCGACGAUCUCUAGCUGGUCUGAGAGGAUGAUCAGCCACACUGGGGCUGAGACACGGACCAGACUCCUACGGAGGCAGCAGUAGGGAAUAUUGCACAAAGGGCGCAAGACGGAUACAGCCAUGCCGCGUGUAUGAAGAAGGCCUUAGGGAUGUAAAGGACUUUCAGCGGGGAGGCGUUACACGAAGAAGAAGCACCGACUAACGCCGUGACAGCAGCCGCGGUAAUAC